CACAGAGGCGCUUCAGAUAAAUGGAAGCUGGAAACAGACUGCUUCCUGUGAGGCUGGUGAAACGGCACCACCUCCUGUCUCCUCUACCGAAUACUUUGUCCCCCAGGCACCCUUGCAGUCAGGCUUCACCUUCAUUGUCCUCCUUUACCAAGAACGAAGGAAAAGUUUCCAUCUGUAGAGCAUGAAAACAAACAUAGCUUCCUCAGCCGAUGGAUGGAUGGGCUUGGUGAAGCCUAUUUCCUGAGUCGUGAUGAGUGCUGGUUGAGAUGGCCCUAGCUGCCUCUUCGGACUGUGACAGACUCACCCAACAGCAGCACCCUGAACAUUCCACAGCCAGUGGAGCACAGGGGGUUAAGGAUUCAGAACCUUUCUCUCCAACAGAGGAGAAAAUAGUGCCACUUCCGGGGCACUUGAAGGACAGAUUGCUGGGGAUGGGACUGCAAUCGGGCCUCGGAGAGGGAGAAGUGAUUGCUGCCCUCAUUAAUAUUACUGCUGGCAAAGGCUGCGUGGGACUCAAUCAGAUGCCAUUGCCCCAGACACAGGAAGUAACUAAGAACAUGACACCCACAUUCCCAAGAGAGCAAGAUGGAAACACUGGGGCUGGAGAGAUGCCUCAGAGGUUAAGAGCAUUGACUGCUCUUCCAGAGGUCCUGAGUUCAAUUCCCAGCAACCACAUGGUGGCUCACAAGCAUCCGUUAUGAGAUCUGGUGCCCUCUUCUGUUGUGCAGAUAUACAUGGAAGCAGAAUGUUGUAUACAUAAUAAAUAAAUAAAAUCUAAAAAAAAAAAAAAAGAUGGGAACACUCAGCUCUUCCUGCUACUAUACUAUGUCUUCACUCUACCAUCAUGGACUCCAGCCCUCUGAAACCAUAAGGCAAAUUAAACACUUUCUUAU
rnacentral:lncRNA from 1 species